UUUCAGGCUGCUUGUCCCGUACCUUGGCUGGGUGGGUAGGUCUUGGAGCCUGCCAUCCAAAAGCACCCCUGGGAAGCGCCCGCAACCCUUGGGGACGCCUCUCCUCCGGCUGCCCCCCUUCCCUGGAAUCCAGGUGUCACUGGGGCCGGGGAGGGGCUAGGAGCUCGGAUUUCUGCUUUGGGAAGUUUUUACAAGCCCACCCUCCCCCUGCCUUGGGUCCCGAGCCAAGAAUUUCAGAAAUCCGGGGCACAAAAACGCCAGUGUUUGCGGUCAAGGAUUAAAGGCGCGAGGUUGUCUUUAUUUAAUCUGCUCCGCCCUGCUCGGGUUUGCACGAAAAACCAAGCCUGGGAGCGACGGUCCACGCAAGCGGAGACACAGGACUGAUGUAGAAAACCAGGACUCUGAUUCCUAGGAUCACAAUUUGAGAAGAUGACCAGCCCAUUAAGAUGGCCAUUUAUGACUUUGCCCUUGAAAUGUUCAUGCAGGGAACUAGAAGGGCUUUGCAAGGUCAGUACAGUAUCAUAGACUGAGCAAAAGUCUGAAGAAAGUCCAAAACUAGCACUCAAGCCUACCUCCACGGAAGACCUAAAAUAGAAGCAUGUUUUGUCAGCAUUACACAGCUGAAAACUAUAACUGAAUUCAUCUGCCUAGAAGCCCACCUCAAAUGCUGCCCUGGUUAAGAGAGCAAGAUAAGCUGGAGAAAGAAGGGAUUGGAGAAAAUCGUUUUGACACCCAGCUGUACCAUUUAUAUCCUGUUUUGUUUUGUUUAAUAAAGUAAUACUAACAAUCCUUGCCUUGUCAAUCUCACUGGGUCAGUGGGUCAUAGGACAUGAAAGGGCUUUGCAAACUCACCCUAGCUAUACUAAAGAAAGAGAACAUUAUCAACAAGAAUGAAGAUAAUGUUAAUGUGUCCUGAUGCAGUACUCAGUUCCAAACCAAACUUCAGAUUAGUGGGGCAGCCCUAUUCCCAAUUUUCUCUCAGGCAUAAGAUUUCAAUUGCCUAUGGAGUGUAAUUGGAUUGUAACUCAAAAAAUAAAUGCUUGAGGGGGAUAGAUACCCCAUUCUUCAUGAUAUGCUUAUUUCACAUUGCAUGCCUGUAACAAAAUAUGUACCCCAAAAUAUAUACACCUACUAUGUACCCGUAAAAAAUUAAAAAGAACAGAAUCACCUAUGAAUGUCACGAUGAGCCUUGAGUGCUUUAAUUAAUAACGCUAAGUCACGUUUAAAUGGCAAGAAAGAAUGUCCAAAACCCAAUCAUAGAAUUCAAUCUAUAUUUUGGCGCUGACACUGUAUUUUCUAGCGUGAUGGACUACCAUUUAC
rnacentral:lncRNA from 1 species